rnacentral:rRNA from 1 species
GACGAACGCUGGCGGCGUGCUUAACACAUGCAAGUCGAACGGAAAGGCCCUGCUUUUGUGGGGUGCUCGAGUGGCGAACGGGUGAGUAACACGUGAGUAACCUGCCCUUGACUUUGGGAUAACUUCAGGAAACUGGGGCUAAUACCGGAUAGGAGCUCCUGCUGCAUGGUGGGGGUUGGAAAGUUUCGGCGGUUGGGGAUGGACGCGCGGCUUAUCAGCUUGUUGGUUGGGUAGUGGCUUACCAAGGCUUUGACGGGUAGCCGGCCUGAGAGGGUGACCGGCCACAUUGGGACUGAGAUAGGGCCCAGACUCCUACGGGAGGCAGCAGGGGGGAAUAUUGCACAAUGGGCGGAAGCCUGAUGCAGCAACGCCGCGUGCGGGAUGACGGCCUUCGGGUUGUAAACCGCUUUCGCCUGUGACGAAGCGUGAGUGACGGUAAUGGGUAAAGAAGCACCGGCUAACUACGUG